GUACGCUGGCGGCACGCCUAACACAUGCAAGUCGAACGAAGUAGCAAUACUUAGUGGCAAACGGGUGAGUAAUAUGUGGGAAUCUGCCUUUCGGUCUGGAAUAACAUGGGGAAACUUAUGCUAAUACUGGAUAAGCCUUUACAGGGAAAGCUUUAUGCUCCGAUUGAUGAGUCCACACUUGAUUAGUUAGUUGGUGAGGUAAUAGCUCACCAAGACAAUGAUCAAUAGCUGAUUUGAGAGGAUGAUCAGCCACAUUGGGACUGAGACACGGCCCAAACUCCUACGGGAGGCAGCAGUGGGGAAUCUUGCACAAUGGGGGCAACCCUGAUGCAGCGAUGCCGCGUGAGUGAAGAAGGCCUUUGGGUUGUAAAGCUCUUUCGUCGGGGAAGAAAAUGACUGUACCCGAAUAAGAAGGUCCGGCUAACUUCGUGCCAGCAGCCGCGGUAAUACGAAGGGACCUAGCGUAGUUCGGAAUUACUGGGCUUAAAGAGCACGUAGGUGGUUAAAAAAGUUGGUGGUGAAAUCCCAGAGCUUAACUCUGGAACUGCCAUCAAAACUUUUUGGCUAGAGUGUGAUAGAGGAAAGCAGAAUUUCUAGUGUAGAGGUGAAAUUCGUAGAUAUUAGAAAGAAUACCGAUUGCGAAGGCAGCUUUCUGGAUCAUUACUGACACUGAGGUGCGAAAGCAUGGGUAGCGAAGAGGAUUAGAUACCCUCGUAGUCCAUGCCGUAAACGAUGUGUGCUAGACGUUGGAAAUUUAUUUUCAGUGUCGCAGCAAAAGCAUUAAGCACACCGCCUGGGGAGUACGACCGCAAGCUAUGAUAC
rnacentral:rRNA from 1 species